CGCGCAGGCGCGGAGCGGCCCGAGCGGCCCGCUUCCCGUCGUCCUCUGCGAUCUAGGCGCGCAGCUGAGAGCGUUUCCGGACCGCUCGAGGUGGCGCGCGGCUGAGGGCUGUGCUCGAGGCCAAGGUGGCCUCAGGUGUUCGCGGCGCCCUGCGGAGUCUGUGACGUGUUAAGGACCAGGCAAAUCGCAUAGAUGGGAACAGGAAGAUGGCGCAGAUUGGAAGACAGUGACAUGGUGGCCGCCUGGAGUUGGCCCCAGAGCAGGCUCACCUUUACCAUCUUGUGUGGUUGUGUCCUUGCUGGGCUGAGGUGCUUGCGAAGAUCAGCACGUCCUCACAGGAGCUACCAUGAAGAAAGGAGCUCAUCACCCAAGAACUUGCAAGGGUGGUGUCCCUGCCCUGCUUCCGUGGCCCACCAUGACUCCAGCAGUCUUCAGAUGAUGGGGAACUGGACUGACAAGGCCACCUACCUCUGGGGAUUCUGGCCUUGGCCUGGACUCCUUCCCUGGCUUUGUAGGGCCCCCUCCACUUCUGCGUGAGGCCCUGUCCACGGCCACAGGUGGGGCGAGAUGGCUGCUGGUGGCCAGUGCUGCCCUGCUGCACUUCCACUCUGAGGGAAGGGCCCCCAGCCCUGGUAGCUGUCAUGCUGGCAGCAAGAAGGGAGCCUGGAAAGCCAGCCUUGCAAGAGAGAACUGGGUCAGACCCCUUUGUGUGAGAUGCUCACUUAGAUGGGGACAGCCAGAGCGGGUGGAGAGGGUGGAGAGCAUCUAUAGCCACUGUUCUGUGAAGAAGACCCCCCCCCCCCCAUGUUUAUCCUUCCAUUCAGCAAGUACUUGGAGCGCGCCUCGGGGAGCUGCGGGCCUCUGAGCAUGAGGAAGAAACGUGCCUGUCCGCUGAGUUUGGGAUUGUGGGUCACCUAACAAGCUGACUGGAGAAAAUGGUAAGGGUGACAGAAACAGACCAUUUGUGAUUAACUAUUCUUAAGGAUAAGAGGACUUUUUAAGGAGGUUUGAAAUGUGUGUUCCAUGGAAUGCUGUCGUUUGAUACUUAAAUCUAAGAGGAGGGCAGUGACAGUUUUAUUCCCAUUUUAUAGAUGAAGAAAAUGAGGCUCACAAUGAGUUAAGAUGCGGGGCAUCUGGGUGGCUCAUUUGGU